UACGUAGGGUGCGAGCGUUGUCCGGAAUUAUUGGGCGUAAAGAGCUUGUAGGCGGUUCGUCGCGUCGAUCGUGAAAACUUGCAGCUCAACUGCGAGCUUGCGGUCGAUACGGGCGGACUAGAGUACUUCAGGGGAGACUGGAAUUCCUGGUGUAGCGGUGAAAUGCGCAGAUAUCAGGAGGAACACCGGUGGCGAAGGCGGGUCUCGUGGGAAGUAACUGACGCUGAGAAGCGAAAGCGUGGGUAGCGAACAGG
rnacentral:rRNA from 1 species